rnacentral:sRNA from 1 species
ACUCAACACGAAUUCUUUAGAAAGGGUGAGUUAUAGUUGUAAAAGCGUGCCGUGUCCGCCUUAGGCGGAGAGCGGAUACUUGACCAACUUAUUAGCCCUAAACUUGUUUUAAGGAGUUU